UGCGGGAUCGUCUAAUGGUAGGACGAUGGAUUCUGGCUCCAUUAAUCUAGGUUCGAGUCCUAGUCCCGCAG
rfam:Parcubacteria bacterium GW2011_GWC1_41_7 TT76_C0005, whole genome shotgun sequence.